rnacentral:rRNA from 1 species
GACGAACGCUGGCGGCGUGCCUAAUACAUGCAAGUAGAACGCAGUUGCGAACGGGUGAGUAACGCGUAUUUAACUGCCUCAUAGCGGGGGAGAACUAUUGGAAACGAUAGCUAAUACCCAAUCCUGUGAGAUUGACCUGCGUUGUAUUAGCUAGUUGGUGAGGUAAAGGCUCACCAAGGCGACGAUACAUAUCCGACCUGAGAGGGUGAUCGGCCAACCUGGGACUUGUGAACGGCCCAGACUCCUUCGGGAGGCAGCAGUAGGGAAUCUUCGGCAAUGGACGGAAGUCUGACCGGGCAACGCCGCGUGAGUGAAGAAGGUUUUCGGAUCGUAAAGCUCUGUUGUUAGAGAAGCGGUAACUAAAAAGAAAGGGACGGCUAACUACGUGCCAGCAGCCGCGGUAAUAG